rnacentral:misc_RNA from 1 species
UCCUCAUUUAAAUGAGGCAGUCUGUCCAGAGUGCUUCCCGCUCUCGCGGGAGUGGCAACAGGACACAAGGGUUGCGCUCGUUGCGGGACUUAACCCAACAUCUCACGACACGAGCUGACGACAGCCAUGCAGCACCUGUGCAAGCUCCUCUUGCGAGGUCGUUACCCUUUCAGGCUUCUACCACCUGCAUGUCAAGGCCAGGUAAGGUUCUUCGCGUUGCAUCGAAUUAAGCCACAUACUCCACCGCUUGUGCAGGCCCCCGUCAAUUUCUUUGAGUUUUAAUCUUGCGACCGUACUCCCCAGGCGGCACAUUUAACGCGUUAGCUACGCCACGAACGGGGUCGAAUCCGCUCACAGCAAAUGUGCACCGUUUACAGCUAGGACUAC